UGACUUUCGCUAAGAAAGUCUUUUGACACCUCUAAAAAUGGUGUAGAAUAAGGGGUGGGCAAGUCUGGUGUCAGCCGCCGCGGUAAUACCAGCACCCCGAGUGGUCGGGACGAUUAUUGGGCCUAAAGCAUCCGUAGCCGGUUUUACAAGUCCUCCGUUAAAUCCAGCUGCUUAACAGAUGGGCUGCGGAGGAUACUAUAAGACUAGGAGGCAGGAGAGGCAAGCGGUACUCAGUGGGUAGGGGUAAAAUCCGUUGAUCCAUUGAAGACCACCAGUGGCGAAGGCGGCUUGCCAGAAUGCGCUCGACGGUGAGGGAUGAAAGCUGGGGGAGCAAACCGGAUUAGAUACCCGGGUAGUCCCAGCUGUAAACGAUGCAGACUCGGUGAUGGACUAGCUUUAUGCUAGUCCAGUGCCGCAGGGAAGCCGUUAAGUCUGCCGCCUGGGUAGUACGGUCGCAAGACUGAAACUUAAAGGAAUUGGCGGGGGAGCACCACAAGGGGUGAAGCCUGCGGUUCAAUUGGAGUCAACGCCGGGAAUCUUACCGGGGGCGACAGCAGGAUGAAGGUCAAGCUGAAGACUUUACUAGACAAGCUGAGAGGAGGUGCAUGGCCGUCGCCAGCUCGUGCCGUGAGGUGUCCUGUUAAGUCAGAUAACGAGCGAGACCCCUGCUUCUAGUUGCUACUUUUAUUCUUCGGAGUAGAAGGGCUAAUUAGAAGGACUGCCGCCGCUAAGGCGGAGGAAGGAGGGGGCUACGGCAGGUCAGUAUGCCCCGAAACCCUCGGGCCACACGCGGGCUGCAAUGGUAAGUACAAUAGGUUCCGAUUCCGAAAGGAGGAGGCGAUCCCGUAAAACUUACCACAGUUAUGAUUGAGGGCUGAAACUCGUCCUCAUGAAUAUGGAAUCCCUAGUAU
rnacentral:rRNA from 1 species